rnacentral:rRNA from 1 species
AACGAACGCUGGCGGCAUGCCUAACACAUGCAAGUCGAACGAGACCUUCGGGUCUAGUGGCGCACGGGUGCGUCACGCGUGGGAACCUGCACUUAGGUUCGGAAUAACUCCCCGAAAGGGGUGCUAAUACCGGAUAAUGUCUUCGGACCAAAGAUUUAUCGCCUUUGGAUGGGCCCGCGUUGGAUUAGCUAGUUGGUAGGGUAAAAGCCUACCGAGGCGACGAUCCAUAGCUUGUCUGAGAGGAUGAUCAGCCACACUGGGACUGAGACACGGCCCAGACUCCUACGGGAGGCAGCAGUGGGGAAUAUUGGACAAUGGGCGAAAGCCUGAUCCAGCAAUGCCGCGUGAGUGAUGAAGGCCGUAGGGUUGUAAAGCUCUUUUACCCGGGAUGAUAAUGACAGUACCGGGAGAAUAAGCUCCGGCUAACUCCGUG